rnacentral:rRNA from 2 species
UACGUAGGGUGCAAGCGUUAAUCGGAAUUACUGGGCGUAAAGCGUGCGCAGGCGGUUUUGUAAGUCUGUCGUGAAAGCCCCGGGCUUAACCUGGGAAUUGCGAUGGAGACUGCAAGGCUUGAAUCUGGCAGAGGGGGGUAGAAUUCCACGUGUAGCAGUGAAAUGCGUAGAGAUGUGGAGGAACACCGAUGGCGAAGGCAGCCCCCUGGGUCAAGAUUGACGCUCAUGCACGAAAGCGUGGGGAGCAAACAGG